rnacentral:rRNA from 1 species
CCUACGGGUGGCAGCAGUGAGGAAUAUUGGUCAAUGGACGAGAGUCUGAACCAGCCAAGUAGCGUGAAGGAUGACUGCCCUAUGGGUUGUAAACUUCUUUUAUAAAGGAAUAAAACGCGGCACGUGUGCCUUUUUGCAUGUACUUUAUGAAUAAGGAUCGGCUAACUCCGGGCCAGCAGCCGCGGUAAUACGGAGGAUCCGAGCGUUAUCCGGAUUUAGUGGGUUUAAAGGGAGCGUCGAUGGGUUGUGCAGUCAGUUGUGCCCGUUUGCGGCUCAACCGUAAAAUUGCAAUUGAUACUGGCAGUCUGGAGUACAGUUGAGGUAGGCGGAAUUCGUGGUGUAGCGGUGAAAUGCUUAGAUAUCACGAAGAACCCCGAUUGCGAAGGCAGCUUACUAAACUGUGACUGACAUUCAUGCUCGAAAGUGUGGGUAUCAAACAGGAUUAGAUACCCGAGUAGUC